AAGUUUAGUAUAAAUUAUAAACUUCUCUUACCUACUGUGGUCUUAAAAUAUCAUUUUUGAUGUUUUUUUCCCGUUUUAAUACUUUGUGUUCUUCAGUCCUCUUUUUUUUUUUUUUUGUAUAUAUUAUUCAUUAAGCUUUGGUAUUUUUUUUUUAUGGGGAUUUCUUUAUGUUAUUGGUUUUAACCAGAAACACGAUGAAAGAAGAGCUGAAACUCUGAGAACGAAACGUAACCUCAUCUUUCCAAUCUAACAGCAUAUUGUGGCCAUAACCUCACUUCAAUGCCAUUGUUUCCAUGUAUUGAACUCAUGAGCGGAGGUAAAUUAAAGCCAUUAGAAGAAACGUGGAAAAUGAUGGGGGAUUGAGGAACAUUCAUGAAACUGGAUCAAAGAAGACCUGAAACUUUGGGAAGGCUUGCAUUGAAGUUAUCGGAAAACCUAUGCUAGGGCAGGGAGUGGAGUUUUCAUGAUUGAGUAGCAAUAAGUACUCAUAGCUUUUACAAAAGACAGAUAAAAUACAACACCAAAGUUCAGACUACCCUUUAUGGAUCAUAAGCAAGCACAAAAAAAGAGGGACCUUGAGAAUAUUUUCUUUGAUUCAAGGGCUGCUUAAUGAAUGUAAAAAGUUUCAGGUUUCAUUGUUCAUAUAUAUUAGAGGGAUCUUCAUGGAUUCUAGAACACAGCAAGGAAGUACGUGACGUUGCUCAUGUUACAUACAACCAUCAAAGCUAGCAAUCUUGCUAGUGAGUCUUCAUCCUUUUUUGUUCAUAACAUUAAUUAUGGAUUUAUUCUAGUGUUUUCAUUUAAUUAUUUAGCUUUUUACUACAGGAAAAGAUUGGCCUUAGCAACACCAUGAAAGAAUAGUGUACUAUAUUCUCUUUUUUGACUCAUGGAUUUUUCAUCUUUGUCCAUGGUUUUCUGCAUCACUGCCACAAUGGAUUGAGAAUCUUCAUUCCCUUGAAUUUAUUAACAUAUAUAGUUACCCCAAUUUGACAUCAGUGCUAAAAUUCUCUUAAGUUUAUCACUAUCAAUAUGUUUGAUUGCCCCAAUUUGACAUCACUGCUAGAAGAGAUUGAAAACCUUCCUUCCCUUUAAGUCUUUUAAGAUGAAUGAGUGCCCCAAUUUGACAUCACUGUUAGAGGGGAGUGAACCUUCCUCUCCUUAAGUCUACUGUAUUAUAAAACAUUGUCCCAAUUUGACAUCAUUUUCGGGGAACUUAAGCAGCUUGAAGCAUAUUUCUAUUAUCGAUUGUCCCAAGUUGGAACAAAGAUAUUGUAAUUGAAGUUUCCCCUUAAUUGUACAUAAUCAAGAUCAAAGAAGAGAUGAAACUCUGGGAGGGCUGCAUUGAGGUAAUUAUUGGGAAACCUUUGAGAGGGCAAGGAGUGUUUAAUUGUGAAGUGAUCAACAUUGCAGUGUGAUUACUAAAGUUUUAACCCCCCCAAAAAAAGCUAAAGUUGAAGGAUGAAUCUCCUUGGAUGGGUCAUAUGAGCAUCGAUUGUAACUUUGACAUCAACUAAAAACUGAACAUGGAAUUUUCAUGAUUGAGUAGCAACAUCCCUAUAUGGAUCAAAAGCAAAGGGAAAAAGAGGAUUGUGAUAAUGCUUGCUUAGGAUUCAAUGGACUGCUUCAUGAAUAUAAAAAGUUUGGUUUUAGGUUUCAUUGUUCAUUAGAGAGGUCAUCAUGGAUUCUUGAACACAACAAAGAAAAAUCACAAUGCAUAGAUGUGCUCUUCCUCAGAAAGUGAACAUGUCACUUACCAGGCUACAACCCAUCAAAGCUAGCUAGUGGAUCUUCAUCUUAUUUUGGUUGAUAACAGUAACUGUGUUUUUAGUAGUUGGAUAAUUGUGCUUGUAGCCAUCCUUCGUAAGACAAAGAUGAUUCUAUUGGCUUGCCAUAAUUUUGUAUCUGGUCUUUAACUCUGCUUUUAGAUUUCUUUGGGCUUUCACCCUUGAGGCAAGUUCCUUAGACCCUGUCAAAGUGUCUCAUUUAAAAAAAAGUAGACUCACUGGUAAUCAGAUGUAUGGAUUCUGAUUUAGCUGUCAAUUUGAGUUUGUAUUACUAGUUAAUGGCUUAAAUAGCCCUAUUUGGAUUA